CAUGUAUUCCCUCCGUUCCAAAAUUCUUGUCUUAGAUUUGUCUAGAUACGGAUGGAUCUAAUCCGUAUCUAGACAAAUCUAAGACAAGAAUUUUAUGACAGAGGGAGUACUUC
rfam:Triticum aestivum genome assembly, contig: Triticum_aestivum_CS42_TGACv1_scaffold_288675_4AL